CGCUUAGCUCAGUUGGUUAGAGCACCUGCCUUACAAGCAGGGGGUCAUAGGUUCGAGUCCUAUAGUGUCC
rnacentral:tRNA from 1 species